rnacentral:rRNA from 1 species
AGAACGAACGCUGGCGGCAGGCUUAACACAUGCAAGUCGAACGGUUGUAGCAAUACAGCAGUGGCAGACGGGUGAGUAACACGUGGGAACCUUCCUAGGGGUACGGAACAACUCAGGGAAACUUGAGCUAAUACCGUAUACGUCCGUGAGGAGAAAGAUUUAUCGCCCCUAGACGGGCCCGCGUAGGAUUAGGUAGUUGGUGAGGUAACGGCUCACCAAGCCUACGAUCCUUAGCUGAUCUGAGAGGAUGAUCAGCCACACUGGGACUGAGACACGGCCCAGACUCUACGGGAGGCAGCAGUGGGGAAUCUUGGACAAUGGGCGCAAGCCUGAUCCAGCCAUGCCGCGUGAGUGAAGAAGGCCUUCGGGUUGUAGAGCUCUUUUACCAGGGACGAUAAUGACGGUACCUGGAGAAUAAGCCCGGACAAACUUCGCGCCGAGCGACGCCGC